UCCCUGAUGUUCUAGUGGUCAGGAUUCAGCGCUCUCACUGCCACGGUCCGAGUUCGAUUCCUGGUCAGGGAA